rnacentral:rRNA from 1 species
GACAGAGGGUGCGAGCGUUGUCCGGAAUCACUGGGCGUAAAGGGCGCGUAGGUGGCGCGGGCAGUCAACGGUGAAAGUUCGGGGCUCAACCCUGAAUCGGCCGUCGAUACUCCCGUGCUUGAGCACUGUAGAGGCAGAUGGAAUUCCGGGUGUAGCGGUGGAAUGCGUAGAGAUCCGGAAGAACACCGGUGGCGAAGGCGGUCUGCUGGGCAGUUGCUGACACUGAGGCGCGACAGCGUGGGGAGCAAACAGG